UCUGUGACAUGAUCAUUUUAAUUUGAUUAUUUAUAUUAAAUUAUGAUCUAAUGAAUGAAUUAUAAUCUGCUCUCUUGGUGCAGCUCCUUUGCAGGAAAAUGUGUAUAUAGUGAUGCAUGGUCACCAUGGCAACAAGACGAAGAAUGUGGAGGAUACCCAGGAUAGAGAGGAGUCUCAUUAUGUACAUUGUUAUCCUGUGGUUUCCAUGGAAACACAAAUCACAGGGCAGAAGUCUGUGGAUGAAGAAGACAUCUACGUGUGAAGACGACCAAUCAGAGCUAACCUUAUGGUAACCUGGACACAUAUGCUCACCUGUAUGAUGUCAUCACCUGCUGAUGUGUAAAUGUGUUUACAUGAAUCAUAAACGUAGAUCAUCGUCAGUUUGUUCACGACUAAUAAAGUUUUAUUGACAGAGCUGUAA